UACAUGGGGUGCAAACGUUGCUCGGAAUUAUUGGGCGUAAAGCGCACGUAGGCGGUUCGUUAAGUCGGAUGUGAAAGCCCUCGGCUCAACUGAGGAAGUGCACCCGAAACUGGCGAGCUUGAGUACGAAAGAGGAUCGCGGAAUUCCCGGUGUAGAGGUGAAAUUCGUAGAUAUCGCUUGGAACGCCGAAGGUGAAAACAGGUUGCUGGGGUUGUGCCGACGCUGAGACACGAAAGCCAGGGGAGCAAACGGG
rnacentral:rRNA from 1 species